rnacentral:lncRNA from 1 species
CUGUGGAGACGGGACACUGAUAUUGUCUGUCCCUAUGUGUCUAUCUCACUGUCCUGUCUCUCCUGCUUCCAUGGCCACCAGCCUCUGUGGGCUGACACUGAGGGAGGGACACUGAGCAUGGCUCCUGUGGGUCUGUGGGCCUGUGCUCUGGUCUGGCCGCACGCUGUUGGUGGGCUGUGGCACUAGGCUGGUGCCCUGCCUGCAGUCUGUUGUUUCAACCAUUGUUUGCUGCCUCUGUGGUCGUCGUGGGUCAGGAUUGGGGCCUGGCUUGGGCGGGGCAUCUGCGAGGGGAAUGGGCUCAAGCCCCCUCGAGUUGGGGCCAGCUGUUGGCCAGAGGCCUCGGUUUCUCUGCAUGGGAAUCUCUCUACGGUGCUGCUUGAGUGUC